AUUUACUCUGCGUGACGUCGGGAGGCGAGAACUGCUGACACAACUUCGUGAAGACGUGAAGUACAAUUUUCCUCAAAACAACAUUGAAACUGCUUGCAAAAGUGUUGAAAUUAGAGGAAGACAAUGCAUCAUCAUGGAGUUGCAUGGACCUGCAAGCUACCUGAAAUGACUGCAUGUGCUCACCGUACGAUAACUGAGCCAUAUGAAGAUAGAUCUUUACGAAGGUUGCUCAGUUUUCUAAGUAAAGCAAUAUCAAAGGACCUGGAGGCGUCAUGAAAGGUAACCUACAAGCUGUAUUGGAGAAGGAACCGAGAAGGACACGUACAACUGUGAUUCCCCCUUCCCCUUUUGGAAAAGAGAUCAUGAACAAUGUCAUACAUAGGAAUAAAAGUUGAAAGAAGAGAAAUCUUGUGCCAUCGGUGACGUAUGGUGGUGGAAAUAUUCUUGUGUUGGAUUUCAUGUCUGCAGCUGGAGUUGGGAAUUUAGUAUUUAUUGAAGGUAUUGUGGAUAAAUUGAAGUAUCUCACCAUCUUAAAGGAGAAUCUGAAGCAAUCUGCGGAGAAACUGGGACUAAGAACAGACUGGGUGUUUCAGUAAGACAAUGACCCCAAGCAUACGGCCGUUGUCGUAAAAGAAUGACUACUUUACAACGUACCAAAAUAGUUUCAUUCGGCUCCCCAGUCACCAGACAUUAACCCAAAUUGAACAAUUUAGGGGAGAACUAAAGCGCAGGAUAAAAAAAAAAACAUACAUCAAAAGCAAAGAUGAUUUAAAAGCAGCCUUAGUAAAUGAGUGGAAUAACUUUACACCUUCGUACACACACACAAAAAAAAAAAAAAAAAAAA